UCUUCUUCCAUGAAUCGUAUAGGCAAACAAUUAUGGAUAUUCAGCGCGUCACAACCACCCACAUUGUCGCAUGCAUACCUGAGAUUUUACGAAAUGUGACCUCCUUUUUGCCAACGACCGACCGACAUCGCUGAACCUGGAACUAUUCUGUGUGUAUCCUAACGAAGCAGAUAGUUCCAGGAAAAGUGCGAACAUGUCCUCCUUCUUGACAGACUUCAACCCCGGACAAAACCUGGAGUUCCCAUCCGUCACUAAACUGGGAUUAAAUCUACACCAAGUCACCGGAUGUGACCAACUUCCUCUAAUCCUUACCAAAAUUUCGGCCUUAUUCCCUAAAGUGUCCAGGCUCCAAUAUCAUUGCGGUGGCGCGGACGCCUUGAAAUUCAUCUUUUUCACGAAACCGUCCCCAUUUCUUAAUCUUAUAGAUUUUAAUAUAAAUU